UUUUACUUUCUUAAAAAGUAUCGGUUAAGGCACCGGGCGAAAAUUAUGUAUGCGGCAGAGUAUAUAAUUAAUUAGAUAAAUUUUUUGAAUCGAUUGACAGCCCUAAUAUAUAUAUAUAUAUAUAUAUAUAUAGCAAGGUCUUGCUGCUACUACUGUAGUCUAUGAUCGUUUCUCUGCACAGUUUCUUUCCUUUGCCUUUUCUUGUGGCUGUUUUCAAACUGUAUUUCUGCGCCGAAUUUUGGGGCUUUUUUCCCUUUAAUUUAGAGGGACAGACAGCAAAGGGCUGCAGGUCGGACUCGAACCCGAGCCGCUGCAAAGGACUCAGCCUACAUGGGGCGCACGCUCUUACAGGGUGAGCUAGAGGCCGCCCCUUUAUAUCAGCAUUUAAUGAAACCUAGAAACAGAGAUAUUGAACGGGGAGAAAUCACUUCCAGGAACCAGAGCCGUGUGCGGUCACUGCUGAGCUCUAAACUGCUGUGAGAGUGUUUGGUAGAAAGGUCUGGACAGAAAGAGGCCUUUGAGUCUGUGGAGAUCUAACUAUACUGUUGGUAGAAAGGUCUGGACAGAAAGAGGCCUUUGAGUCUGUAGAGCUCGUAACUGCUGAGAGAGUGAUGGUAGAAAGGUCUGGACA